CCUCGAUUUAAUCAGCUUUCCAAAUGAUUCAAUACUGUUGGAAACACUUUCCAGAUGAUUUAUCUACAAUAAGUCCCAUAGAUUUAAUAAAACAUAAUGGUAAUCAUGGAGAUAAAUUGUUUAGAAAGUUUUUCUAACAGUACUGAAUCACUUGGAAAGCUUAUUAAAUUGAGG